CAGCCACAUCACAUUGAAAAACCAGUUCCUCUAAGAUCACCGAAGUUAAGCAACAUGGAGCCUGAUCAGUAUUUCGAUCGGUGACCACAUGGGAAUACCAGGUGCUGUAAG